rnacentral:rRNA from 1 species
CAGUCGCCACGGUAACACGGAGGAUCCAAGCGUUAUCCGGAAUCAUUGGGUUUAAAGGGUCCGUAGGCGGUCUUGUAAGUCAGUGGUGAAAGCCCAUCGCUCAACGGUGGAACGGCCAUUGAUACUGCAGGACUUGAAUUAUUGGGAAGUAACUAGAAUAUGUAGUGUAGCGGUGAAAUGCUUAGAGAUUACAUGGAAUACCAAUUGCGAAGGCAGGUUACUACCAAUUGAUUGACGCUGAUGGACGAAAGCGUGGGUAGCGAACAGGAUUAGAUACCCCCGUAGUCCCUGUCUCUUAUAC